CGGACUUCGAUUCUUCAUCUCCCCCAUUCUUGGCAGCGGUAUGAUGUUUCCUUCUUCACCCUUUCAAUGGCUGCCCCGUCUUCGUUCUCUCCUGCACUUCCGGCGCCAGGCGAUCAUCCAUAGCUGAGAUGCUUCAGCUUGCAUGUCGCCCCGAUCUCCAGCAUUGCUCGCCGGCGAGAUGUGUGUUCAUCUCGUGUUGAUCUGGUAAGUCCGAUUUUG
rnacentral:misc_RNA from 1 species